rnacentral:rRNA from 1 species
AGAGUUUGAUCAUGGCUCAGGACGAACGCUGGCGGCGUGCUUAACACAUGCAAGUCGAACGGAAAGGCCCCUUCGGGGGUACUCGAGUGGCGAACGGGUGAGUAACACGUGGGUGAUCUGCCCUGCACUCUGGGAUAAGCCUGGGAAACUGGGUCUAAUACCGGAUACACCCUUCUGGUUGCAUGGCUGGGAGGGGAAAGCUUUUGCGGUGUGGGAUGGGCCCGCGGCCUAUCAGCUUGUUGGUGGGGUGAUGGCCUACCAAGGCGACGACGGGUAGCCGGCCUGAGAGGGUGUCCGGCCACACUGGGACUGAGAUACGGCCCAGACUCCUACGGGAGGCAGCAGUGGGGAAUAUUGCACAAUGGGCGCAAGCCUGAUGCAGCGACGCCGCGUGGGGGAUGACGGCCUUCGGGUUGUAAACCCCUUUCAGUAGGGACGAAGCGUGAGUGACGGUACCUACAGAAGAAGCACCGGCCAACUACGUGCCAGCAGCCGCGGUAAUACGUAGGGUGCGAGCGUUGUCCGGAAUUACUGGGCGUAAAGAGCUCGUAGGUGGUUUGUCGCGUUGUUCGUGAAAACUCACAGCUUAACUGUGGGCGUGCGGGCGAUACGGGCAGACUAGAGUACUGCAGGGGAGACUGGAAUUCCUGGUGUAGCGGUGGAAUGCGCAGAUAUCAGGAGGAACACCGGUGGCGAAGGCGGGUCUCUGGGCAGUAACUGACGCUGAGGAGCGAAAGCGUGGGGAGCGAACAGGAUUAGAUACCCUGGUAGUCCACGCCGUAAACGGUGGGUACUAGGUGUGGGUUUCCUUCCUUGGGAUCCGUGCCGUAGCUAACGCAUUAAGUACCCCGCCUGGGGAGUACGGCCGCAAGGCUAAAACUCAAAGGAAUUGACGG